rnacentral:rRNA from 1 species
UACGUAGGGGGCAAGCGUUGUCCGGAAUCACUGGGCGUAAAGGGCGCGUAGGCGGCCUGAUAAGUAGGGGGUGAAAUCCUGCGGCUUAACCGCAGGGCUGCCUUCUAAACUGUCAGGCUCGAGCACAGUAGAGGCAGGUGGAAUUCCCGGUGUAGCGGUGGAAUGCGUAGAGAUCGGGAAGAACAUCAGUGGCGAAGGCGGGUCUCUGGACAGUUCCUGACACUGAGACACGAAGGCCAGGGGAGCAAACGGG